rnacentral:rRNA from 1 species
GAUGAACGCUGGCGGCGUGCUUAAUACAUGCAAGUCGAGCGAACAGACGAGGAGCUUGGUCCUAUGAUGUUAGCGGCGGACGGGUGAGUAACACGUGGAUAACCUACCUAUAAGACUGGGAAAAAUUCGGGAAACCGGAGCUAAUAUCGGAUAAUAUAUUGAAGCGCAUGGUUGAAAAGUGAAAGACGGUUUUGCUGUCACGUAUAGAUGGAUCCGCGCCGCAGUAGAUGGUUGGUAAGGUAACGGGUUACCAAGGCAACGAUGCGUAGCCGACCUGAGAGGCGGGUCGCCCACACUAGAACGGGGACACGCACCAGACUCCUGCGGCAGGCACCAGAAGGCAAUCUUCGGCAAUAGUCGGAAACCUUGCGCAGCGGCCCCACGUGAGUGGUGGAGAUCUUCCGAUCGUAAAACUCUGUUAUUAGUGAUAAACCUAUUUCUAAAUAACUGUACCCCUCGUGACGGUACCUGAACAAGAAGCCACGGCUAACUACGUG